GAGGCCCAGAGCAGAACCCGGCGGCGCCGAGCCCCUCUCUACCGGGGGUGCCUGGGCGCCUGGGCAGAUGUCGUGGAGGAAGUAAGGAAAAUCUCCAAGGAGAAAAUAAAAUGUGUUAGGCUGAAUAACAACUCCACAAAAGAUGCCCAUGUCCUAAUCCCAGGAACCUGUAGGUCCCUCUGGCUGUACAACAUGCAGAAAAGACUAGGUCAUUCACUUCCAUUCCUAAGGGAAUAAGACUGAACCAUGGUAAGGAUCCUUCCUGUACAUGAGAAACACUGAAGAGAGGGAUGAAUGCAUUUGCAAUAACAAAUACAGAUGAAGAGGAGCAGGU